UGCUCUAAUACUAUCCGACAGCUCGUUUCAAAGCUUAAGAUGCUAUUAAAUAUAAAUUUAUUCUUCAGCAAGAUAAACCUUAAGACAAAUUUCCCAUAAAAAUAAUAAUAAUAAUAAUUAUAGCAAUGAACCAAGAUGCCUAUAGGUUAGAGCAAGGCAAUUUUCUUGACAGAAACAACUGGAAAUCAAAAUAACCAAAUCCCAAAACUGGAAAAUUCAGUCACAGAAAUAAAGGGUCAUCAAGAAAAUAAAGGAAAAGCAGUAAAUUAAAUCCAGACUAUGAAACCUAACCUUGCUGGUCAGUGGAGGCCCGAGGAGAAAUAACCAACAAUCUGCGUUUAGUAGACAACUUUCUGCCAUUGAAAUGAAUUGACUGAACCCCUGAAACAGAAAAAGGCAGAGAAGGAGAAGCAGACACAGAAAUCAAUGGUUUUCUGAACGAAGCAGUGAGGAAUCUUGGAAUUGUUAUACUGAACCCAAGUUUGGUCUCCAUUUGCGGCGGUGCCAGCGGCUGUGGUGGUGGAAGGAGUUGAUGGGUGGCCAAGGUUUUGGAAGGGAUUAUGCAUUAUAAAAAUCAAGCGUGAGAAUUUUGGUGGAAGAAGGGACAGCUCAAAGAUAAGGCGAUUGAAGAAUGAGUGGAGGGAAAUUAAGAUAGUGUUUGUCUUGAUUUUAAGAAAAUCUAUUCCCUGUUCCUGGGACGUUACAAAAACUGACAUGUCAUGAUCUUUGUCAGAAAAAUCUUGCAUUCUCGUUAGG
rnacentral:lncRNA from 1 species